CUGCUUCUUCACUCUCAAAACUAAGCGCGGAAUCACCAACAUUGGCAUAUGGAUCCCCUGUGGAUGUCCAACCCAUCAAUGGAUUCUCCCAUCUACAUAUAUAGAAGAAAGAAAUAUGUGUAUCACCCAUAAAACUUGGGCAUAAAAGAUAUGCAGAAGAGCUGAAAAUUGACAUUAAACUAAAACAUAGAAGAAAGAAAUACGUGUAUCACCCAUAAAACUUGGGCAUAAAAGAUAUGCAGAAGAGCUGAAAAUUGACAUUAAACUAAAAGUAGGUGAGAAAACAACAUUUACAUACUUCAAUUGGAGGGAAGAGCACAAAAGAGUUUACCUCUAGAGUAUAUUAUUUAUUUUAAACACCAUGAGAUGAUUCAACUAGCAUCCUCUAUUCCAGUUCUCAUGAAAGAAACAUUCUUCAGCUUAAAUUGUACUUAUAUAAAAAAGACAAGGGAAACAGAGCAUAAAGAUAAAUUAACAAUCAGUAGUACUUGCACAAGAAAUUUUUCAACACUAGCAAUUUCCGUCAGAGAUAACGAGACAUUUCAACAGAUUCUAUUGAAAACAACAUCAAGAACGAAAUUUUAAUUCCUUGGAUUUAAAAGAUAGAAAAGAAUAACGAAAUUAAUGUUAUGACAAAAUCCAAAGUGCAAUUAGUGAAGCAAAUCAAGACAGCAUAUGCAAAUGACUUUUAAAGAAAAGGAAUCUGAUAGAAUCCUAAAGUUUAAACAGGUAAAAGACGUUACUUGAUCAAGAAAAAAAAAAUUAAACAGGUAAAAUGUAUGGAUCUUCCAACUUAACAUAUAGAAAGACUACAGCUCUAGUGAUGCUAUAUUGCCAAUCUAUCCACCAUUUAAAAAAUAAAAGUUGAUCUCUCCAUUCUAAAAGACACAGGCAGUUGCAAUCAGAAACUCGAAAAAUAAAAUAGUUUGCUCUGCAUAGAGGAGAGUAUGCAGCCACUGUCCUGGACCCAGAUUAUAUGUGCUUUUCUCUCAGCAUCUUCAGAUAUGGAUAUACAUUUCUUUAAUCAAAACAGCACAAAUAUUCUCAACUUCAAAAAAAAUUCAAAGAAUGUG
rnacentral:lncRNA from 1 species